CCUACGGGAGGCAGCAGUGGGGAAUCUUGCGCAAUGGGCGAAAGCCUGACGCAGCCAUGCCGCGUGAAUGAUGAAGGUCUUAGGAUUGUAAAAUUCUUUCACCGGGGACGAUAAUGACGGUACCCGGAGAAGAAGCCCCGGCUAACUUCGUGCCAGCAGCCGCGGUAAUACGAAGGGGGCUAGCGUUGCUCGGAAUUACUGGGCGUAAAGGGAGCGUAGGCGGAUAGUUUAGUCAGAGGUGAAAGCCCAGGGCUCAACCUUGGAAUUGCCUUUGAUACUGGCUAUCUUGAGUGUGGGAGAGGUAUGUGGAACUCCGAGUGUAGAGGUGAAAUUCGUAGAUAUUCGGAAGAACACCAGUGGCGAAGGCGACAUACUGGCCCAUUACUGACGCUGAGGCUCGAAAGCGUGGGGAGCAAACAGGAUUAGAUACCCUGGUAGUCCACGCUGUAAACGAUGAGUGCUAGUUGUCGGCGAGCANGCUCGUCGGUGACGCAGCUACGACAUAAGUACACGUCCGCCGUCGGGAGGUACGGUCGCGAGAAGUUAAACGUACUAAAUUAGAAGUUAGUUACGGCGUGAGGACGUUGCCGACGGGACGACCGACGAGGGGAGGUUAGG
rnacentral:rRNA from 1 species